AGUUGAAGCUGCCAGCCACACAUCUACGUAGCUGGCUAUGCUUUGUUUAUCACACGUGUUGAUAUCAGACCCUCAAAACCAAAACGCGUACACACAAUCAUCUUCUCAUCUCCUCUGCCCCAAUUUCAUCUCAAAACCCUCGCACCAAUCCACCGUAACCCUUCCACCGUUCAGCACUGCCACGAAACACCUCUCAACACUCCUCUAACAAAUUCUUAUGUUGGAACCCACUCUGGUUCCAAAUCGAUAAACGAAUCGGUGAACGGUUUGCGUGAUUUCACGAUCAGAUGACCAGCCAGAUGGUAAUCCAGUUACAACCGCUCUGAGAGAGAGAUAGAAAUUGACGACGACGUUGGUUAGUCUCCGCCCCUAUCAUCACCACUUCCACCACCGCCUCACACUGCCAUCAGUUGUAGUAGUUGAAAACCCUAGACGGUCGGUUCCUGUCUCCCAAAUCCCAUCUUUUUAGCCUAAUAUUAAAGAACUUCUUUGUCUAACACUGAAGAACCCUAAACGAUUGUGACGACGGUGGCGAAUCUGGUCUGGAUUUUGCCAGGUUCUUUCAUAAAGGUUGAUCACUUCUGAGGAUAUAUCCUGGUGUAUCACAUUAUUGUCCUGUUUUGAUAUAGAGACGAAGACAUAACAGCUGGGACACAGGAGGCCCAUCAAGAUCUUUUGGGUUGGUUUGGUGAUGAUGGUUGUUGCGUUGGAGGUGGUGGAUAAAUGAUGAACAGGGUUUGAGUGUUUGGUUGCAGAAGUUGAAAAGCCUACAAAGAUGGGUGAAAGAAUGGUGUUUUGAAUCAAAAGAAGAGAUAUAGUGGCUGGCGUUGACAACAGUCAGCGUUUGCGAAAAAAUCGAGGCCGAUGAUUUUGAAAUAACUUGAGACUUUUGAGGUUGUAUGGCAGGGUAUUCUAAGUCUCCGGUUCUCAUACCACCUAGGGUUAUGCCCUUGCUUCAUGAUUUAGCACAACAUAUGGUGCAUGCUGGUCACACUUACAGGUCGACACGCUUUCUGUCUGAAAAUUUCAACUUUUUCUAAUAAAUGGUUGGUGUGUCAAAUAGAUAUAGAAAGCCUCUUUUAUUUAAAAAAUAAUCUUUCUUUUGUGGAAUUUUUGGAAGGGUUAUAGAUAGAGGUAUAAAAAUGGACGUCACAACAGAUUGAGAAAUUCGUUAAAACGUCUUUAGGUCGAACAGUCAAACCGAGUAGCAUUUUGGUAUGAGUCGAUAUAGAUAGGGGUUGGCUCAACUCCUUUCUUUCCCAAAAAAUACUUUAACUAUUAAUCAAUGGUUAGUGUGCUAAGUUUACUUACAAAAAUGGGUUGGCAGGUUCAGCCUGACCUGAACUCAAAAAAUCUAGACGAACCCGAACACAAUUUGAACCUAAAAAUCGUGUCAUACAUAUGAACACCCAAACACGACCCGAAUAUUAACGGGUUGACCCGAACACGACCCGUUUAACUCGAAUUUUUAUAUACGUUUUUUUCCAGAAAAUU